GAACAUGAACUCGCCCUCCCUCGGCUCCUU
rnacentral:piRNA from 1 species